rnacentral:lncRNA from 1 species
CCAGGGCUUGCACCCAAGGACCAACACCUCCCAUCUCCUGUUCAGCAAUCUGACACAAUGCAUCGCAAGUUUGCUUACAAAGAGCUCAGUAACUCCACUUUCAGUUUACAAGUCAGGAAAUUCAAAGAUCGAGGAAGACUGACUUGCCUGGGGACAUCUAACAGGCCCGGGGCAGAGGAAAAUGACUGAGAUCUUUUGAGCCCCAAUUCAGAGCUCUGGAGCUGCUCUCUGAACAUACAGCUGAACAUACUUGAAAGACUACGAUGAAGACCAAACUCCUCAUGGCAAAAGCUGAUUGGGGACAGACUGCAUGGCUGGUGAGACAUGUUCCAAAAAAAUGCAUCUUCCUAGGAACUACAGCAUAACUAACCAUCGAUGCGUGGUCAAAUGAGAAGAUGAAUGCAGCUGUGUCUGUGCUCUGGUCUGUUCUUGUCUCACAUCUACUACCUAAUCCAAAGGAGAAGAUCGGCUAGCUCAUGACAUACGGCGUUAUUCAAUUUCACAUGAAAGCAGGAAGCCAGCUUUCCAUUUGUCUAGCGCUGACCUGGCAUCCACUGAUGGAAAAGGAUUUUGCCUUGAUAGUGCCUAAACUUUGGAGGAAGAAGCUUUCUGCUUUCAUCAGAAGACAUGCCCAGCAUCCUGCAGAAUCAAGUCAUAAUCAGCUGGGAAUGGAUGUUCUCCUACAAAAGGCUGUGAUUUCAAUGAAGAUGUGUUACAUGGUGUGAAACUGUUCUGUCUAGUGUGUGGAGAAAUCAUAGAGAUGCCUCCGUUUUUAAAAGAAUAUGUUGUCU